CCAGCCCCCAGCCCACCAUGGUUCCUGCAGGCAACAUCCUGUUUCUGCUUUUGCUCCCAAGUGAAGCCAGUGGUUAUGGGGGCUGUUAGGCAGAGUUUUGUGAAAGGAGUGGCUUGGGGUGGCAUCUGAAGGGAGGGGUGCUGAGGAUGGGUCCUUCUCCCAGUGCCCUUUCCCUUCCAGAGAGAGACUUCUGGGCCUGGUUCUUUGGGGAGGGAAGCUGAGUUUGGAUGGCUGCUGUUCGUCCCCUUCUCACCGCUGGGUGAGAUUUCCUGUGAGGUGAGAUUUCUGAUUUCCUGUCUCCCUCUGUGUCUCUGAGUGCUUCCCUCCCAUUUGGUGCCUCUUUCUUAUUUGACCUCUCCCGAGUGGAGGCUACUUCUCAGGACAUCACCUUUCCCUGCACCCUGUUUUGAGAACCACCUCUCCCCACUGAUCUACCUUCCCUCUCCUUCCUCAGUGGCUGCAGCUCAGACGACCCCAGGUUCCUGUUCUGGAUGUGGGCCCCUCUCCCUGCCACUCCUGGCGGGCCUCGUGGCUGCAGAUGCGGUCGUGUCAUUGCUAAUCGUGGUGGUGUUGUUUGUGUGUGUGCGCCCACGCAGCAGGCCCACCCAAGAAGAUGGCAAAAUCUACAUCAACAUGCCUGGCAGGGGCUGACUCCCCAGUAACUGCCACACAGGACUUCUGACCCUGUCAUCCUGGAUUGUGUGUGGCAGCACAGGAAAUCCAGCCCUCUUCUGGGCUGGAAUAAAGCAAUUGAAAUAC